rnacentral:misc_RNA from 1 species
AAGGAUCAUUACAGUAUGUUCAGAAGCGGCUUGCUGCUGGCCCUCGUUCUGGGGGCAUGUGCGCGCCCUUCGCCUUCAUCCAUAUACACUUGUGCACUUCGUCGAAAGCCUCCCGUACGGAGCCGCCCCGUCAUUGGGGUCGAGGCCUUUGAUCGUUAUUACACUUCAGCCUGUUCAAACGCAUGUCUAACGUCCCACGGGGCAAAAGUUAAAUACAACUUUCAACAACGGAUCUCUUGGCUUUC